rnacentral:rRNA from 1 species
GGACGAACGCUGGCGGCGUGCUUAACACAUGCAAGUCGAACGGAAAGGCCCAGCUUGCUGGGUACUCGAGUGGCGAACGGGUGAGUAACACGUGGGUGAUCUGCCCCAAACUUCGGGAUAAGCCUGGGAAACUGGGUCUAAUACCGGAUAUGACCUGCUCCUGCAUGGGGGUUGGUGGAAAGCUUUUGCGGUUUGGGAUGGGCCCGCGGCCUAUCAGCUUGUUGGUGGGGGUAAAUGGGCCUACCAAGGCGACGACGGGUAGCCGACCUGAGAGGGUGAUCGGCCACACUGGGACUGAGACACGGCCCAGACUCCUACGGGAGGCAGCAGUGGGAAUAUUGCACAAUGGGCGCAAGCCUGAUGCAGCGACGCCGCGUGAGGGAUGACGGCCUUCGGGUUGUAAACCUCUUUCGCCAGGGACGAAGCGCAAGUGACGGUACCUGGAGAAGAAGCACCGGCCAACUACGUG